rnacentral:lncRNA from 1 species
GAUGGAAGGGGGUUGUGGACCGAAACCAUCGGACCAAGAGAUGAGGGACCCCUGCGCUGUCCCCCUCCCCACACUCAGGGGCUGCGACCGUGUUUACUAAUAAAAGCAACAAAGAAUCACACGCAAGUCCCGUCUUUCAGCCCUCGGGCGGCUCUUGGCUUGGGGCAGCGGAUCGUCGGGGGAGGCGAGCAGAGAGGCGGAGGGCAGAGCAGAGCGCCCGCAAAGGGACAAAAAGGGGGUGGGAAGGGGGCAGAGGAGAAGAGGGGGAGAGUUAGCCAGAGACGGAGGCGCAGCCGGAAAGGAACCGAUAAGGGAGCGAAGAGGGCAGAGAAAAGUGAAAAGGAGGACCUCUCUCUACUUAAUGUGGCCCAAGUAUCAGCAGGAUCAUCUGAAAAGAAGUUUCUUAGACACCUGGGCCUCACCCCAGAACUGCAGAAUUGGACAUUUUACAGGAUCCACUGGUGGUUCAGGUGCACUUUGAGGUUUGUAGAGCAGUGGUCCUGCUGGACACCACACUCCCUCUCAGGGAGAAAAUAGUAAUUCAGAUGACUCUCCCAGGGCAACCACUCUCUGGAGCUGCCAUACCAACCUUUUGGCUUAGCCCUUCCUUGCAACUCACAACACCUUGAAGUAACCUUUAGAUACCCUCAGGUAAUCAAGCUUGACUUUACCUUCUAUUUGC